GAUGAACGCUGGCGGCGUGCCUAAUACAUGCAAGUCGAACGAACGGACGAGAAGCUUUCUUCUCUGAUGUUAGCGGCGGACGGGUGAGUAACACGUGGAUAACCUACCUAUAAGACUGGGAUAACUUCGGGAAACCGGAGCUACUACCGGAUAAUAUUUUGCACCGCAUGGUUCAACAGUGAAAGACGGUCUUGCUGUCACUUAUAGAUGGAUCCGCGCUGCAUUAGCUAGUUGGUAAGGUAACGGCUUACCCAGGCAACGAUGCAUAACCGACCUGAGCGGGAGAUCGGCCACACGGGAACUGAGACACGGUCCAGACUCCGACGGGAGGCAGCAGUAGGGAAUCUUCCGCAAUGGGCGAAAGCCUGACGGAGCAACGCCGCGUGAGUGAUGAAGGUGUUCGGAUCGUAAAGCGAUGUUAUUAGGGAAGAAGAUAUGUGUAAGUAACUGUGCACAUCUUGACGGUACCGAAACAGAAAGCCACGGCUAACUACGUG
rnacentral:rRNA from 1 species